UACGUAGGGCGCAAGCGUUGUCCGGAAUUAUUGGGCGUAAAGAGCUCGUAGGCGGCUUGUCGCGUCGGAUGUGAAAGCCCGGGGCUUAACCCCGGGUCUGCAUUCGAUACGGGCAGGCUAGAGUUCGGUAGGGGAGAUCGGAAUUCCUGGUGUAGCGGUGAAAUGCGCAGAUAUCAGGAGGAACACCAAUGGCGAAGGCAGCUCACUGGGGCGGUAUUGACGCUGAGACGCGAAAGCGUGGGGAGCAAACAGG
rnacentral:rRNA from 1 species